UACGUAGGGGGCAAGCGUUGUCCGGAAUUAUUGGGCGUAAAGCGCGCGCAGGCGGUCAUUUAAGUCUGGUGUUUAAACCUUGGGCUCAACCUGAGGUCGCACUGGAAACUGGGUGACUUGAGUACAGAAGAGGAAAGUGGAAUUCCACGUGUAGCGGUGAAAUUCGUAGAUAUCGGGAGGAACACCGGUGGCGAAGGCGGCGACCUGGGACAAUACUGACGCUGAGGUGCGAAAGCGUGGGGAGCAAACAGG
rnacentral:rRNA from 1 species